rnacentral:lncRNA from 1 species
UAAAAAAAUUGCUUAGGACGCAAGGUAAAUGCUUAUAUAUAAAAAACCAUCUGUUAGUUUUUGAUGGUAUAAACAAACGGAAUUUCGAUGUAACGAAGUGCGGGAUUAAUGAAAAAAACGUUUAUCAUUUUAUGGAUCAUUUAAUGGAAUGUAUAUAAAAUUCAGCUAGCAUAUGCAAUUCAGAACCCUUGCCCAUAAUAAAUUGUUUAUGACGCAAGGAAAAAGCGUACGAUCACAUCGGAUGAGACCCGCUCAGAAACGAUCUAUCUACAGUCCGAUGUUCGUUGGCAGGUUUACGAUUUUUCGCAUCAUUCUGACAAGAAAUAUUUUAAGUGCUAUUGCAAUACGCUCAAAUGGAUCUACGGCGAUUUUCGGAUCCUCAGUGAUUUUUGAUUGGUAUGGAGAUUUGGACGACUACAGGACAAGUUCUCGCUGAUUCACUACGUAUUGAAUGAAACUAUACAAGCCUCUGAUGAGAAGAGUUUUCUCAAAUCCUCCCCUUGAUGCUCAGAUAUUAGGAAGAAUAUCUGGAAGCUCAGGCAGGAGAAAGUCUGUUCUUAGGUCAAAAUCUCGUAUACAAGGAAAGUAGUGAAUCUGUCAAAGCUACAGUAGCGAUGUAUAUGGAUUUUUCAUUGACCGUGGACAUGCCUCUAAAUGUUUUGGAAGUGACCGCACUGUUCAAAUACUUCAGUAAACUUAGACUUCUUAUGAAGCUACUGUCAGGAUUCAUCGUCGAAAUCGAUAUUCCCAUUUUGUCUACGGUUACCGCCAGAAUAACCUUUCAAGAAUUUGCAUUUGGAAAUGACAAAUUUGAAAAUCUUACAAGUGCUCUUGGGUUACUUUAAAGAUUCAAUCAGCCUCCGAUGAGAAGAGUUUCCACAAAUCCUUCCCUUGAUACUCAGAUAUCAGGAAGUAUGUCUGGAAGCUCAGGCAGGAGAAAGUCCAUUCUUAGGUCAAAAUCUUGUAUACAAGGAAAGUAGUGAAUCUAUCAAAGCGACAGUAGCGAUGUAUAUGGAUUUUUCAUUGACCGUGGACAUGCUUCUAAAUGUUUUGGAAGUGACCGCACUGUUCAAACACUUCAGUAAACUUAGACAUCUUAUGAAGCUACUGCCAGGAUUCACUGUCGAGAUCGAUAUUCCUAUUUUGUCUACGGUUACCACCAGAAUAACCUUUCAAGAAUUUGCAUUUGGAAAUGACAAAUUCGAAACUCUUGGAUUACCUUAAAGAUUCAAUCAUUUUUGGAGACUGGGAGUUGCCAGGUGAGGGAGAGCAAGAAACACCGAUUCAAAAAUCUGAGACUGUUUGCAGUUUGAGCUGAAAGAUCGUUUCGAAGAAAUUAAUAGACUCAAAGAAAAAGCGAACGAUGAGGCAGAACAAAAAAGUAUGGCAGAAAUUCUGUCCCAGGUCGAGAUAAUAGGGAAAAAAUUGAAUUUCCUGAAAUUGCAAGAAACCUUAGCAGCAAUCUGGUCGCGACUUUCGCUGAUCCUCAAGGUGCCAGCUUAAAACAAUUGACGUUGCAGAUUCAGCUAUUCAAACAAACGGGUUCGACUAAAGUUGGAGAGGAAAAAACGGCAUUUACUGAAGUGGAUAAAAUUCGCAAACGAAGUCUGGAGUAUUAAAA